AGAGUUUGAUCCUGGCUCAGAUUGAACGCUGGCGGCAUGCUUUACACAUGCAAGUCGGACGGCAGCACAGAGAAGCUUGCUUCUUGGGUGGCGAGUGGCGAACGGGUGAGUAACAUAUCGGAACGUACCGAGCAGUGGGGGAUAACUAAUCGAAAGAUUAGCUAAUACCGCAUAUUUUCUGAGGAAGAAAGCAGGGGACCAUUUGGCCUUGCGCUGUUUGAGCGGCCGAUAUCUGAUUAGCUAGUUGGUGGGGUAAAGGCCUACCAAGGCGACGAUCAGUAGCGGGUCUGAGAGGAUGAUCCGCCACACUGGGACUGAGACACGGCCCAGACUCCUACGGGAGGCAGCAGUGGGGAAUUUUGGACAAUGGGCGCAAGCCUGAUCCAGCCAUGCCGCGUGUCUGAAGAAGGCCUUCGGGUUGUAAAGGACUUUUGUCAGGGAAGAAAAGGGCGGGGUUAAUACCCCUGUCUGAUGACGGUACCUGAAGAAUAAGCACCGGCUAACUACGUGCCAGCAGCCGCGGUAAUACGUAGGGUGCGAGCGUUAAUCGGAAUUACUGGGCGUAAAGCGGGCGCAGACGGUUACUUAAGCAGGAUGUGAAAUCCCCGGGCUCAACCUGGGAACUGCGUUCUGAACUGGGUGACUAGAGUGUGUCAGAGGGAGGUAGAAUUCCACGUGUAGCAGUGAAAUGCGUAGAGAUGUGGAGGAAUACCGAUGGCGAAGGCAGCCUCCUGGGAUAACACUGACGUUCAUGCCCGAAAGCGUGGGUAGCAAACAGGAUUAGAUACCCUGGUAGUCCACGCCCUAAACGAUGUCGAUUAGCUGUUGGGCAGCAUGACUGCUUAGUAGCGAAGCUAACGCGUGAAAUCGACCGCCUGGGGAGUACGGUCGCAAGAUUAAAACUCAAAGGAAUUGACGGGGACCCGCACAAGCGGUGGAUGAUGUGGAUUAAUUCGAUGCAACGCGAAGAACCUUACCUGGUCUUGACAUGUACGGAACCCUCCAGAGACGGAGGGGUGCCUUCGGGAGCCGUAACACAGGUGCUGCAUGGCUGUCGUCAGCUCGUGUCGUGAGAUGUUGGGUUAAGUCCC
rnacentral:rRNA from 1 species